rnacentral:rRNA from 1 species
UAGAGUUUGAUCCUGGCUCAGAGCGAACGCUGGCGGCAGGCCUAACACAUGCAAGUCGAGCGCCCCGCAAGGGGAGCGGCAGACGGGAGAGUAACACGUGGGAACGUACCCUUUGGUUCGGAACAACCCAGGGAAACUUGGGCUAAUACCGGAUAAGCCCUUACGGGGAAAGAUUCAUCGCCGAAGGAUCGGCCCGCGUCUGAUUAGCUAGUUGGUGGGGUAACGGCCCACCAAGGCGACGAUCAGUAGCUGGUCUGAGAGGAUGAUCAGCCUCACUGGGACUGAGACACGGCCCAGACUCCUACGGGAGGCAGCAGUGGGGAAUAUUGGACAAUGGGCGCAAGCCUGAUCCAGCCAUGCCGCGUGGGUGAUGAAGGCCCUAGGGUUGUAAAGCCCUUUCGGCGGGGAAGAUAAUGACGGUACCCGCAGA